AGAAACCAGGGACACUGGGAGACAUGGGGACACUGAGAGACAUAGGGCCACUGUGUCCCUAGUGUCCCUAUGUCUCCCAGUGUCCCAAUGUCUCAGCGUCCCCAAGUCUCU